GGGGGAGUAGCUCAGUUGGUUAGAGUGCCACGUUGACAUCGUGGAGGUCAGCGGUUCGACCCCGCUCUUCCCCACCA
rnacentral:tRNA from 1 species